rnacentral:rRNA from 1 species
CCUACGGGAGGCAGCAGUAGGGAAUUUUCGGCAAUGGGGGGAACCCUGACCGAGCAACGCCGCGUGAACGAAGAAGUUAUUCGUAAUGUAAAGUUCUUUUAACAGGGAAGAAAGAGAAAUUUGACGGUACCUGAAGAAUAAGCCCCGGCUAACUACGUGCCAGCAGCCGCGGUAAUACGUGGGGAGCGAGCGUUAUCGGGAAUUGUUGGGUGUAAAGGGUGCGUAGAUGGCAUAGUAAGUCUUUGGUAAAAAUUCUGGGCUAAACCCGGUAGGGCAAAAGAUACUGCAAAGCUAGAGUAUGACAGAGGUAAGUGGAACGACAUGUGUAGCGGUAAAAUGCGUAAAUAUAUGUCAGAACACCAGUGGCGAAGGCGGCUUGCUGGGUCGAUACUGACAUUGAGGCACGAAAGCGUGGGGAGCAAACAGGAUUAGAUACCCUGGUAGUC